rnacentral:tRNA from 2 species
GCCCCCGUGCCGGAAAUAGGUAGACGGGCCAGCUUUGGGUGCUGGUGGGCCUCCAUAGGCCCGUCCGGGUUCGACCCCCGGCGGGGGCACCA